GAUAUGCCAGUGCAAACACUUCAAGGGAUACAACUAAGCAAGAGCAAGCCACAGUAAAGACACAAGCCUUUGGAAGAGCAAGAAGGCUCUUUUUGUGGCCCAGGAGAAAACUAGCUGUCUACAGAGGAAAAGUGCCAGCAAAACCUCAGCUCUGGAUAUGAGGAGAGUAGACUUCAGGGUGCUCAGGGAAUGAGCUGUUUGCAGGCUUGGAGACUGGAAGCUAAAUAAUUUUUUUUUUCUACCAAAUUCUUCAACAGAGGAUUAAGAUUGGAAAAAAGUCAUCAUUAUCCUGGGCCCAGAGCUGAUGUGGCUAUACUGCUUCCAGCAUGGCUGCUCAUAUUGUACAUCUUUUACAAGAACCUUGGCUUGUGAACACUGACCAGCAUCAGUCCAAGGGUUAAUAGCCCAAGCACUGAUGGUAUUGCCUGUGAAAGUCUUAUGCCAAAUCUAAGAAUUUCAUUUUACCUUCUUCCAGUUGUAUUUCCAUGUACUUCUACUUAACCUGGCAAAAAAAUUAA